GGUAGGGUGACUGAUAAAAGUGGUGGAUUGUAGCUCCAUAUAUAAAGGUUUAAUCCUUUUCCUAUCA
rnacentral:tRNA from 1 species